rnacentral:rRNA from 1 species
AUGGGUAGACUACGGAAAGUCUAUCCCAAGGAUGUUCCGCUAGUUUUUUCAGUUGAGAGUGCUGAUUCUUUGAAAGAUCCUUUCGUGCCUAAUGAUUUUGCUGAUGAUGGUUCUAAUGCUAUGUCUUUGGAUUGUUCUGGUGAUGAUGAAGAGUUUGAUAAAGCUCUAUACAAUUUUUAUGUGAAUAAUAAAGUCAAUUACCUAAAGAGGAAAUUAUCAUCUGCUAGUAGAAGGAAUGUUGUAAGUCUCUUUUCUCUUCUUGUGUUUUAUUUUCUGUCCCUUCUUCUCUUUUGGUUGCUUGUCUGA